UUCAGGACUUCUCUGUUCACCAGCUCACAAUGAGAUUCCCUGCUCAGCUACUGGGGCUGCUAAUGCUCUGGCUCCCUGGAUCCAGUGGGGAUAUUGUGAUGACCCAGACUCCACUCUCCCUGCCUGUUACCCCUGGAGAGCCGGCCUCCAUCUCCUGCAGGUCUAGUCAGAGUCUCCUGCAUACUAAUGGAUACACCUAUUUGGAGUGGUACCUGCAGAAGCCAGGCCAGUCUCCACAGCUCCUGAUCUAUUUAGUUUCCAACCGGGCCUCUGGAGUCCCAGACAGGUUCAGUGGCAGUGGCUCAGGGACAGAUUUCACACUGAAAAUCAGCAGAGUGGAGGCUGAGGAUAUUGGGGUUUAUUAUUGCAUGCAAAGUACACAAGCUCCUCCCACAGUGAUACAACCCCGAACAGAAACCUCCCUGCUGGGGUGGCCCAGCUGCCCACACGUGCUGCUUGUCUGGGCAGCAGCUCAGCAGGUUCUCUGAAUCUGUGUAAGAGAAAGAUGCUGGAGGGCUAGGGAAUAGUUUGCACCCAGGGUUUCUGGAUCAUGAGCACUUCAGCUACACCUUGAGGAUAGCCUGUUUAUGUCCCUGUCAGCUCAAACAGCCUUGAUUGGUAUAAGCAGCAGGGUAAUGAGGAGGUCCAAGUGACCUCUGAGUAAACAAACAUAAUGGAGAGGAGAGAUUAUUGAAAAUCUUACCAUAAUCCUCUCCCCUUGCCUGCAUUUGUUAACUUUUAUCAGCAAAAUAGGAAAUUGACACAUAUCUGGCAAUACAUGAAUACAUCUGGGGGAUUAACAGUAUUUUGUAUAUUUUUAAGAGGAUGUUUAGUAAAAUUCAACAUUGGUAUUUUCCCACUUUUCUAAAUUCUUACUUCUAUUUCUUACUUAUCUUCCACAAUAUGAAUAUAAUAGAGACAGUAUUUUACCUUAGUUAUCCUAAGGGAGUAUUGGCUAAGAACAAUUAGUAAAAAUCUUGGUUUAUGAUUGUCAGAUAAAUUUUGUAAUUUCAUAGAAGGUGCAAGAUGCUAAUGCUGAAAUUCUUUCAUUAGACUCAUUUUCUCUUGCUAAUAGAAAAAGUGAGUUAUUGAAAUUCCAAAUGUUGAUUUUAAAAAUAAUAAGCAUAUACCUAAAGAUGUACAGCAUAGAAUUUUCCCCCUAGACCACUAGGACAUACAGAAUAAUAUGAAGUUUUUUUUUUUUUACCAAACUUAGGAAUUUAAGAUGGGCAGACAGCAGGAAUGGGAGCAUGAAGAGAAUGCAGGAGGGGUCAGCUAUUGGUCAAUUAAACUUCUCUCGGCCUGUGUCCCCCAUGCUACGAACUGAAUUGUGUUCUCAAAUUCAUGCUGAAGCCUUAAUCCUCAAAGCUUCUAUAGGAGAUAGGGCUUAUAAAGACGUCAUUGAGGUCAUAAGGGUGGUCUCUGAUCUUAUAGGAUAGAGGUCUCAACAGAUCCAGAGAGCUCUCCUUUUUCCUCUCUCUCUAACGUCUCUUUCUUCUAUGGAAAGGUCAUGUGAAAGCAUAGUGAGAAGGUGGCAUCUGCAAGCCAGGAAGCUUCUCACCAGAAAAUGAGCCCUGCUGGACCUUGAUAUUGGAGUUUCCAGCCACCAGAAAUAUGAAAAUAAAUGUCUGUGGUUUAAGCCACCCAGCGUAGGGUCCUUCGGUGUAGCAGUGCGAGACGUGUCAUCCACUCUCACCCUUUGAGCAGGAUCAGCCUCCGGAGGCACCUGAUAGACAUGGGGGUACAUUUCUUCCUGCUGCAGGGGUUCUCUUUCUGCUGCCAUCUGAUUCUCUGGUGAGAAA